rnacentral:miRNA from 1 species
AAGUCAUCAAAAUAAAAGUUG